UUCUGGAUCGUUCCAGAGCUCCCCAAGGGAGCCAAACCCUAACUCAACAAUAUUCAUCAAAUUGAAGGGUGAAUUGAAGCUCAAAUUAUCAACCGAACGUGAAUUAGUGAUCACCAACACAAGGGGAUCAUAAGGCAUAAGGAUCAUGUGAAAAUGGACUCAAGCAAGGAAGGCAAAAGGGUCAAAAGGAGGCAAGGGAACAGACGCAAAAAGGUUGUACGGGUCACGGAGGAUCAUCAAGGAAUAAAGAUCGAGGACCGAGUCACAUGAAGGAUUGUACGGGGUUGUCUAAGGAUGUAAUUUGUUAUACAUAAGUUAUGAUUUAUUCUAUAAUUCAGUCAGUUUGAUGUAUUCAAUAUAAAAGAGUUAUCUUAAAAGUGAACUUUCAAGUAAGACAUAAGGUUUAUAAUGAAAGAAAUUUUAUGUCA